AUGUCUAGCGGCGCUCCAAUGGAGUUCGGCGAGCAUAGAGUGGAGACCAACGCAAGGGAGACGGAUCUCUUAGUGGUGUACACCAUCGACCCGGCCGUGGUGGACGACUACAUCAACAGCGUUGAGCAGUUGCUUGCUCGAGAUAAGUACAAGGUGGUCGACAUCGACCUCCAGUACACUGUCGGUCAGCCUUGCGACCGUUUCAACAGGUUUGUCAACAGCACCGACUACAAGUUUGCCACGGUGGAAACCAAAGACGAUGUAAAAGCGCUCAGUGUUACGGGCUUGGCCUGCAAGAACCUUGUCGAAAUCCAUGACCACUACAGUGUCUGGGGCAGCACGAAGCAGGACUCCCUGGUCGAACUCGCCUCGGCCAUCAUUGACCCCUACUAUGAAAAGAUGAAGCAGGAUGCCCAGAGAACAAGUCCCGUAUCCUGGCACAAGGCCUGGUGCGGCAACUGGAUGAACCUCAGCUCAGUUAAACCAGCUGCUCCGAGAGGGGAUGUUGAGGAUAACGACAAUGACGAGCAAGUCGGUGUUUGUGAAGCUUCGCCUGAGCCAUUCCAGCUCUUCCAGAGGCACAAGGAGAGCCUAAAGUCAGGAAGUCCAAAGAAUGAGUCAAGCCAAAGAUAUGAAAAUGGAACACAUUUGCGCUCCUACGAGAAGAAGGUCGCGCAACUGAGGAUUCAGGACGCCAACAGUGCGGAGCUGUUCGCCAUUGAGAGGACCAGGGCUGCCAUCAGGGACAUCUGGACCAAGUUCAACAUCUCCCUUGCCUCCGUCAACGCCGGCGACCGACUCUACAAGCGUCUAGCUGUGCUUUAUGACAUGAUGAAUGCUGCCAUCGCUUGCUUUUGA
rnacentral:rRNA from 1 species